rnacentral:rRNA from 1 species
AAGUCCCGCUAACGAGCGCAACCCUUGUCGUAUGUUACAAGUGUCAUACGAGACUGCCGGUAAAAGCCGGAGGAAGGUGAGGAUGAUGUCAAGUCAGCAUGACCUUUAUAUCCAGGGCUACACACACGCUACAGUGGUCUGUACAAUGGGUAGCCAAGCCGCGAGGCGGAGCCAAUCCUGAAAGCAGGCCUCAGUUCAGAUUGCAGUCUGCAACUCGACUGCAUGAAGCCGGAGUUGCUAGUAACCGCAGGUCAGCAAUACUGCGGUGAAUACGUUCCCGGGUCUU